rnacentral:rRNA from 1 species
GAUGAACGCUAGCGGCAGGCCUAAUACAUGCAAGCCGAACGGCAAGUUUGAUAGCAAUAUUGGACCUAGAGUGGCGCAAGGGUGCGUAACACGUAUGCAACCUGCCCGCGACAGGAGGAUAGCUCCCCGAAAGGGGAAUUAACCCUCCAUAACACCAUGUGAAGGCAUCUGAUUAUGGUUAAACCGCAAGGGGUCGCGGAUGGGCAUGCGGUUGAUUAGCUAGUUGGCGGGGUAAAGGCCCACCAAGGCGGUGAUCAAUAGGGGUUCUGAGAGGAAGGUCCCCCACACUGGCACUGGGAUACGGGCCAGACUCCUACGGGAGGCAGCAGUAGGGAAUAUUGGACAAUGGUUGCAAGACUGAUCCAGCCAUGCCGCGUGCAGGAAGAAGGCCUUCUGGGUCGUAAACUGCUUUUUCCUGUGGAUAAAAUACCCGUGCGCGGGGAAUUGAAGGUAACAGGGGAAUAAGCCACGGCUAACUACGUG